CCUACGGGUGGCAGCAGUGAGGAAUAUUGGUCAAUGGGCGCGAGCCUGAACCAGCCAAGUAGCGUGAAGGAUGACUGCCCUACGGGUUGUAAACUUCUUUUAUCAAGGAAUAAAGUGAGGCACGAGUGCCUUUUUGUAUGUACUUUAUGAAUAAGGAUCGGCUAACUCCGUGCCAGCAGCCGCGGUAAUACGGAGGAUCCGAGCGUUAUCCGGAUUUAUUGGGUUUAAAGGGAGCGUAGAUGGGUUGUUAAGUCAGCUGUGAAAGUUUGCGGCUCAACCGGAAAAUUGCAAUUGAUACUGGCAGCCUUGAGUUGAGUUGAGGUAGGCGGAAUGCGUGGUGUAGCGGUGAAAUGCUUAGAUAUCACGAAGAACUCCGAUUGCGAAGGCAGCUUACUAAACUGCCACUGACAUUGAUGCUCGAAAGUGUGGGUAUCAAACAGGAUUAGAUACCCGGGUAGUC
rnacentral:rRNA from 1 species